rnacentral:piRNA from 1 species
GAGGUAGAUUCAUUGGCACAGGAAGGCCCCC